rnacentral:lncRNA from 1 species
GUUUCAGAAAUUUCAGUCCGUGAGUACUUAACUCUGUUGCCUUGAGCUUUUGGCAGCUCAGAAUAUCAUGACAGGAGCACACGUCAGAGAAGGUUGCUCACUUCAUGGCAACCUUGGUAAAAGAAAGACAGGAAGGGCCAGGAUCCCAAUAUCCUCUUCCAUGGCUUGCUUGCAAUGAUGUAACUAUGUUCCAAUAGGCCCCACUUCCCAAAGGUUUCAUAACCUUUCCAGUAGUGCCACAAACUGGAGACCAAGUCUUUAACACGUGGGCCUUUGAGGAACAUUCAACAUAUAACCUAAGUAGACAUCUACCUUCUUGUUAUGACAAAUUAUUUUUUGAAACCUAUACAUUUUUGCUUAUGUUCUAGAUUCUAAUUAACCUUUUGUUUUAGCAGACGUUCUCUGAUAUUGUUGCAGCAGAGGAAGGUGCUGGUACUUCCUCAUCAUUACCAGGUAGAGGUACAAGUCUAGAUUCCUGACUUGCCCUCUGUUGAACCAAAGUGGGUGUUCCAAAUGAAGAUGAUGAGAAAAACUCUUACGGUGUCUGAGAAUAAAGAAAUGGAUGCAGCACCUGAGAGAUCAACUUUGGUUCCAUUUGGGGAUGUGGUUGGCUGCCUAGCUGUUCACAUACAGAGUUGCAGACAUUUUUUGCCUAUGAUCUACUUAAAGCAUUACACAAAUUUGUACAUUCGCAUCUCCGUAAACAGCUUUGUGAAAUAUACAAAAAGUUUUAGCUUGCUCUCUGGAAACAAUGAAAAGAAUAUUGUAAUUAAAUUUGAUGAAAUGAAGUUCUUUUCCAUACAGGUUCCCAGACAUCAAGAUGAUAAGCGGAAUAAUAUUUCCUUGGAACUGGUGCAAUACAGUGAUACAGAAAAUUAUCUUCUCCUCUUAGGAAGUGCUGAGGUGCAUCUUUAUGAAGUAAUUCAGAAAAUGUGUUUUACUGAAGAAUUACAAAUGUUAAAUGAAAACACAUGUGUCUGCAGGUUGGAUGUGGAACUUAUGUUUGCCUAUGGAUCCUUUGGUUACGGAUUUUCACAUCAGUUAAAACCUCUUCAAAGAAAUAUUGAGCCUACUAUGUUUUUGAAUGUUGCAUCACAUCCAAAAAGAAAAGAUCUCCCAAUAAAUAUUGUCACACCACAGCCUGUUACUGUUGAGAAUUCAGCUGACAGACAACACCCCAACCAGCCACCUAUAGUACAACUUGAAAAUCCCCGGGAAAGGUUGGAAAAAAUGAAAAAGGAAUAUAGAAAUCUGAGUACAUGGAAAGAAAAAGCUGAUUAUUUGGAAAGCAUACUUAAUCCAGAAUUGGAACAUAAGAAUUCCAAGGAAACUAAUAUAAAUAAGAUGUCAGAAAGCCUAAAUAAUAACCAAUAUGAAAAGAAGUCUGAAGAUACUAUAACAUUAGAUGUCCCACUUAGAAGCAGUGAAGGUGAAAUUACACCAGUUGAGUUGCUGGAAAAUGAUAAGAAAGACCUGACUAUACCAACUUUGAACCUUUGGGACCAAGAUAAUUCAAUUGCUGUUAUUCCAAGAAUUGAUGAGUCAACACUGCCACCCACAGAUAUUCCACUGUCCAUUAUUCCUACCCUUAAAGUAACAGAAGAGGGGAAAAUACCACCUUUAGAUGAACAAUCAAAAGCCAUACUAAAGGAUAAAAUGAAAGAUACACUGUUGCCACCAGUAGUAAGACUGAGAAAUACACAUCCAAACAUUUUAAAAACAGACUCUUCUUCAGCAAAGAUUCCAAAAUUUACAAACAAGGCAAGUUUUGAUCCUAUUUUAAGGACUAUAGACGACAAACUAUCAGCCAGAAGUAGCAAAGGACAAGAUAUGUACAAAAAUAGAUACAUUUUACUGGCAGAGGAUAUAGAGUAUGAAGACCAAGACCCUCCUUACCCAGCAUUUUCAAACGCUGCAGGAUAUCCCAACAAUACCUGGGCCCCUGAUCCUAAUAUCAUCACAAAAACGACAUCGGAUAUAAAGAAAGUAUUGAAGAGAGAAAAUACAAAACUCAAGGUUCAAAAGGAAAGAAAAUGUGCUGGUAAAUCAAAAAAGUUGUCUAACUGCACAGGAAGGCUGUUACCACCUGCUCUUCCCACCACAGCCAUCUGUCUAAGGAAAUCCAUUCCAAAGACUUGGCUUCAUUGGACUCCAAGAACAACCAUACACGAUUGUUUGGAUAAAUAUGAGGAUUUAUAUGUGAACCCAGUUAAGCAUCCUACAAAAACAAAAUCAAGAGCAAGACUUGUAGGAAAGAACCCAGAUGAUAGCCAUAAUCAGGGAAAACAUGUUGCAAGACCUUAUACUGCUCCAGACCCUAACAAACAACAAGAAAGCUACACUAGAAAAUUUCCAAGUCCUCGAAUGGUUUCAGCAGGCUUAAUCCACAUCAAUGAUUCAACUCUAGACCAUACUAUGAAUAAAAUGUGGCCCCCCCAAAAUUAAAAGAAGAUACUGAAAAAUGUUGCUCAUUUGUGAUAUUAAAAUAUUAAUGUUAAGUGGAUCAGAAUGAUAUGUGACUCAAAAUAUCCAUUAACAAAAUGGUCUGGAGAUCUGUUCUUGUAUGUUAUUGAUUAGAAGUUAGCAACCAAAUUCCAUCUUAUGAGAAACAUUUUGUUAUGACUAAAAUGAAAAAUGAACACAUUUGAAGUAAACAUGUUUUUGUUUGUGAAUCAAACAAAACCCAGGGAACAAACUGAGAAAUAGAUAUUCAGUUGAUAUUCAUUAGUAAAGUCCCCACACUCCAACUUUUUCCCUUAGAAGGAUGAAUUGAAAUCAAAUAUAUCCUCUGACAUCCCCGCCUUUGUUACCAGUUCUCAGGUUCUGUGUUUGCAGUUAUCUGUGCUCAGCCUCUUGUUAUGACUAAAUUUUACUCUUCAACACUCAUUAUGUUCCUAGAUUCAGCAGUCUGAAAUUCUCUGGGCCUAUAGCUCUUCUGUUAAUUUUAACAUUGAUAUUGCAUUUUUGUAUACCAUGAAUAAGGAUAAUAAAGAAAAGAUUUAAUACUAAAUUCCGAGGCAUUACUUACCCGGAAGUAACUUUCUAACUCACU